rnacentral:rRNA from 1 species
GGGUUGUGAGGUUAAGCGACUAAGCGUACACGGUGGAUGCCCUGGCAGUCAGAGGCGAUGAAGGGCGUGCUAAUCUGCGAUAAGCGCCGGUAAGGUGAUAUGAACCGUUAUAACCGGCGAUACCCGAAUGGGGAAACCCAGUGUGAUUCGUCACACUAUCAUUAACUGAAUCCAUAGGUUAAUGAGGCGAACCGGGGGAACUGAAACAUCUAAGUACCCCGAGGAAAAGAAAUCAACCGAGAUUCCCCCAGUAGCGGCGAGCGAACGGGGAGGAGCCCAGAGCCUGAAUCAGCAUGUGUGUUAGUGGAAGCGUCUGGAAAGGCGCGCGAUACAGGGUGACAGCCCCGUACACAAAAGCGCAUGUGCUGUGAGCUCGAUGAGUAGGGCGGGACACGUGGUAUCCUGUCUGAAUAUGGGGGGACCAUCCUCCAAGGCUAAAUACUCCUGACUGACCGAUAGUGAACCAGUACCGUGAGGGAAAGGCGAAAAGAACCCCGGCGAGGGGAGUGAAAAAGAACCUG